UUGCCCUAGUAACGGCGAGUGAAGCGGCAACAGCUCAAAUUUGAAAUCUGGCCCUAGUGGUCCGAGUUGUAAUUUGUAGAGGAUGCUUUGGGUGCGGUGCCUUCUGAGUUCCCUGGAACGGGACGCCAGAGAGGGUGAGAGCCCCGUACGGUUGGACACCUAGCCUAUAUAUAGCUCCUUCGACGAGUCGAGUAGUUUGGGAAUGCUGCUCUAAAUGGGAGGUAUAUUUCUUCUAAAGCUAAAUACCGGCCAGAGACCGAUAGCGCACAAGUAGAGUGAUCGAAAGAUGAAAAGCACUUUGAAAAGAGGGUUAAAUAGCACGUGAAAUUGUUGAAAGGGAAGCGUUUGCGACCAGACCUUUUCCGGGCGGAUCAUCCGGCGUUCUCGCCGGUGCACUUCGCCCGGUUUAGGCCAGCAUCGGUUUUCUUAGGGGGAUAAAGGCCAGGGGAACGUAGCUCUUUCGGGAGUGUUAUAGCCCCUGGCGUAAUACCCUUCGGGGGACCGAGGACCGCGCUUUUGCAAGGAUGCUGGCGUAAUGGUCGUCAACGACCCGUCUUGAAACACGGACCAAGGAGUCGAACAUUGGUGCGAGUGUUUGGGUGUUAAACCCUCACGCGUAAUGAAAGUGAACGGAGGUGAGAGCCCUUACGGGUGCAUCAUCGACCGAUCCUGAUGUCUUCGGAUGGAUUUGAGUAAGAGCAUCACUGUUCGGACCCGAAAGAUGGUGAACUAUGCGUGGAUAGGGUGAAGCCAGAGGAAACUCUGGUGGAGGCUCGCAGCGGUUCUGACGUGCAAAUCGAUCGUCAAAUCUGCGC
rnacentral:rRNA from 1 species